rnacentral:rRNA from 1 species
AGAGUUUGAUCCUGGCUCAGAACGAACGCUGGCGGCGUGCCUAACACAUGCAAGUCGCGCGAGAAAGCGGGGGCAACUCCGUGAGUAAAGCGGCGCACGGGUGAGUAAUACGUAGGUAAUCUGCCUUCGAGACUGGGAUAACCUUCCGAAAGGAGGGCUAAUACUGGAUGAGACCACGGGGCCCCGGCCCUGAGGUCAAAAGGUGGCCUCUGCUUGCAAGCUACCGCUCGGAGAUGAGCCUGCGCACCAUUAGCUAGUUGGCGAGGUAACGGCUCACCAAGGCGAAGAUGGUUAGCUGAUCUGAGAGGACGAUCAGCCACACUGGGACUGAGACACGGCCCAGACUCCUACGGGAGGCAGCAGUGGGGAAUCUUGGACAAUGGGGGAAACCCUGAUCCAGCGACGCCGCGUGGGUGAUGAAGGCCUUCGGGUCGUAAAGCCCUGUCGGGGGGGAAGAAACUCCUGCCGGUGAACAAUCGGCGGGAUUGACGGUACCCCUUAAGGAAGCACCGGCUAACUCUGUGCCAGCAGCCGCGGUAAGACAGAGGGUGCUAGCGUUGUUCGGAAUUACUGGGCGUAAAGGGCGCGUAGGCGGUCUGUUAAGUUCGGUGUGAAAUCCCCCGGCUCACCCGGGGAACUGCGCCGGAAACUGGCAGACUGGAGUACCGGAGAGGAGGGUGGAAUUCCUGGUGUAGCGGUGAAAUGCGUAGAUAUCAGGAGGAACACCGGUGGCGAAGGCGGCCCUCUGGACGGAUACUGACGCUGAGGCGCGAAAGCGUGGGGAUCAAACAGGAUUAGAUACCCUAGUAGUCC